GCGGGGGAGAAUGUCAUGGACGGCACUAUUUUCGCCCCAAAACAAGCUCAAAACAGCUCCAAUAUGCUUCCGGAACAGUCCAGAAUACCCCGGAAGGUCCUGGAAGAUUCUAGAAGGCUCUAGAAGACUCUAGAAGACUCUAGAAAACUCUAGAACACUCUAGAAGACUCUUAAAAAAUCUAGAAUUGUGCAGAUUGUUGAAGACAAGCCUAGAAUCAUGUGGAGGCUUCUAGAGGGCAGC
rnacentral:lncRNA from 1 species